rnacentral:rRNA from 1 species
AUUGAACGCUGGCGGCAGGCCUAACACAUGCAAGUCGAGCGGAUGCACGGAAAUUGCUCCUGGUUUCAGCGGCGGACGGGCGGGUGAUGCCUAGGUAUCUGUCUGGCUGUGGGGGCUAGGGUCCGGACGCGGGCGCUAAUACCGCAUUAGUCCUUACGGCCAACGUGGGGGAUCUUCGGACCUCCCGCUAUUUGAUGAGCCUAGGUCGGAUUAGCUAGUUGGUGGGGUAAAGGCCUACCAAGGCGACGAUCCGUAGCUGGUCUGAGAGGAUGAUCAGCCACACUGGAACUGAGACACGGUCCAGACUCCUACGGGAGGCAGCAGUGGGGAAUAUUGGACAAUGGGCGAAAGCCUGAUCCAGCCAUGCCGCGUGAGUGAAGAAGGUCUUCGGAUUGUAAAGCACUUUUAUUUGGGAAGAACAGCAGUAAGUUAAUACCUUGCUGUUUUGACGGUACCAACAGAAUAAGCACCGGCUAACUUCGUG